rnacentral:tRNA from 1 species
AAUGUUAUAGUUUAAUUAAAAUAUUAAAUUGCAAGUUUAAAGAUAAGAGAUUAUUUAACAUUU